GACGAACGCUGGCGGCGUGCUUAACACAUGCAAGUCGAACGGAAAGGCCCUGCUUUUGUGGGGUGCUCGAGUGGCGAACGGGUGUGUAUCACGUGAGUAACCUGUCCCUGUCUUUGGGAUAACACCAGGAAACUGGGGCUCUUAUCGGAUAUGAGCUCUUGAUGCACGGUGUGGGUUGGAAAGAUUCGGCGGUUGGGGAUGGACGCGCGGCCUAUCAGCUUGUUGGUGAGGUAGUGGCGUACCAAGGCAUCGACGGGUAGCCGGCCUGCGAGGGUGACCGGCCACAUUGGGACUGAGAUAGGGCCCAGACGGCAACGGGAGGCAGCAGUGGAAAAUAGUGCACAAUAGGCGGAAGCCUGAUGGAGCGACGCCGCGUGCGGAAUGUCGGCCUGCGGGUUAGAAACCGCGUUCGCCUGUAACGAAGCGUGAGUGACGGUAAUUAGUAAGAAAGCACCGGCUAACUACGUG
rnacentral:rRNA from 1 species